rnacentral:rRNA from 1 species
CAGUAGCCACGGGAAUACGGAGGGUGCAAGCGCUAAUCGGAAUUACUGGGCGUAAAGGGUGCGUAGGCGGUUGUUUAAGUCUGUUGUGAAAGCCCUGGGCUCAACCUGGGAAUUGCAGUGGAUACUGGGUCACUAGAGUGUGGUAGAGGAUAGUGGAAUUUCCGGUGUAGCAGUGAAAUGCGUAGAGAUCGGAAGGAACAUCUGUGGCGAAGGCGACUAUCUGGGCCAACACUGACACUGAGGCACGAAAGCGUGGGGAGCAAACAGGAUUAGAUACCCGCGUAGUCCCUGUCUCUUAUAC